GGGGGAGAGCAGGAUCCUGGGCUGUGCCCCCGGUACCCUGGGCUCCGGGGCCAGUGCUGCUGGAAUUGGGCUCCCGGGGCCACUCAGUCCCCU
rnacentral:pre_miRNA from 1 species